AUAUACUUCUCUGUAAGAGUCAAAAUCUGCUUCUCACUGUGGCGAAAGCCAGACCACGGGUAGCCCUACAUGGAAGUUGUACAGCCAGCAGGUCUGUAGGAUGGAUGGUUUUGCAGCACUGUAUUUAAAAGUCAUUCAAUCCUAAUUCUGACAAUAUGGCUGUUAGUGGGACAAGUAUGCCCAUGAUGUAUCCUCUGCUAUUCACUAGCAAAUGUUUUAUCACUACGGGUCAUUGGCCUCUCAUUCUGCAGAGAGCACAGGAGCAGAGUUAUGGCAAGAGGCACAUCACCGGGUCUCUGAUGAGAUCAGCCAUGGAUACUGUGGAGUGAGAAGGAAGUCCCUUAUCACAGCACACAUGGAUUGAGAGUGCACAUAACCAUUGGUUUUGGAAUAAACCUUUGGAGACUGCAGCAUUUCUUGCACUACACAAAGUAGAAGAGUUGCCAGGGUAAAGAAAUCCAGUCUAGCCCAGCAAGCUUCACCCUGCAUGGCUUCACACCAGGGAACAAGAAAGGAAUUCUUCUCUUUGAGACUCCAAAGGCUUCACCUGAAGCCACUUAAUGACCUUGCCUAGUCUGCUGUUGCUCCCACCCAUCAGGGUUUAAGACAGAUGUUUUCUGCACUGCAGCUGUGAGGAGAGUUCAUAUGUUCAAGUUUGCAAAGGAGUGAGGCCACUGUGUCUGAAGUACAUCUGUUCCCAGUCAACUGUGUUCAGCUGUGGCUGAGGGCAUGCAGAGCACUUCAGACACAGUGCCUAUUAGGGCUAAUGGCCUAAUAAGAAACAAAGGCAUGUAAGUGGAUUUGUUCAUUUCAGGCAGAAUUCUCCUUAGUAGUCACAUUUGUUUUUAAAGUGACUUAAUUUUAAGACAGAUUUCUUGUGCACUCUAAUUUGGACUGUAUUUAAGGGAAAUUAAGUAAACAAACUAGUUGCUUCUGUCUCCUCAGCAAUGUUUUACAAUAUCGUCAAAGCGAUCAAGCUUUCUUACAAAAAUGCCAUUCAAACAUUGCAGUGCAAUUAAGUACUGGGACUUAUACAGAUGAUACAUAUGAGAUUAAUCAUCCUUUUUGUUUUUUAACUUGUACCAUGAAGACAUGGUACCCAGCACUUUGCUCUUAGAUCAUUAUGCAACUGUGCCCUCUGAGCAGAACCAGUCUUUAAUCAAAUGUCUUUCAAUGUUUUCUUAGAGAAAAUAUGUCUUUCUGUAUCACUGACUUUUGAAAGAUGAGAAAAAUAAAUUAAUUUUGCUGUGUGUUUGGGACUCGCUGCCUUCUGCCUUCUUCCAGUGAUGUAAAGGAGGAUUUUGUGAUCCUCCUUCUCUGUGCUCCAGCCAGUCUAUAUUGCUGUAAUUUUGAGUUUUGGCAAGGGCUCCUGCAAACCUGACAGACAUUUUGUCCUGUGACUCCAGCCACAGGAGAACAUGAGAGCAUUCUGAUGCCUUCAUGGCAACAAGGCGUGGGACAACACACACAGCACAAUGUGGGGCAGUAAGAACAGGAGAAUGUUGGGCACGAAGCAGUGUCUUUUUGCAUUGUACAUACAAAUUAAUGUGUGAUGGGGGAGGAGAAGAGAGCAAUUUAGGAAAGAUUUCCUUCAGCUAGAGCUGUACUUUUAAUUAAAUCUCUAUAUAUAUCGUGGUAGGAAAAGAGCACGUCAGAAAGCUAAGUUGAUCAAGUAGCUGUUAAGCCAUUUAACGUCUUGAAAAUAUUUUUCCCCUCCAAGUCAUAGAAUCAUAGAAUCAUAGAAUGGCUUGGCUUGGAAGGGACCUCAAGGAUCAUCAAGUUCCAGCCUCCCCACCACAGGGUGAUGUUCAGCGCAUGUUGAAGGCUUCCAGCAACUGAUUCAUUACCCCAUCAUACCAGAGUAGCAUCCAGCAUUGCUGUGUCAGUCCAGGGAGCCUUGUUGUAAAAUUUAGGUCUUACCAAUUCCUGCAAAGCACCAGAAGCCACAGAUAUCUGUCAUCCACUGGUGAUGUAAAGACACAUAAUCAUGGUUAGAAAAUAUUUCAAGGAUGCAUUAGUGUUUCACUAACGUAAAUGUGAUAUUUACGUAUAGGUAAUAUUCUAAGUGGCAUCUUCGUGGUUCCCCUACAAUUAAAAUAAUCAGUAGAAAGAUGCCUUCUCUUUUUUUUUUUUCAGCAGUACAUUUGAUAUCUCAGCCAUUUAACACAGCAUUGAAAACAUUUUCUUUCGUGCUUUAAACCUAGAUUUGAAUAUAUCUAUUUUCUAUGAACCGAGUUCAGUACAAACAUGAUAAAAUUCUCACUAAAGGAAAGAAGCACCUGGUGUAUACUGAACUUGCUUAGGAGAUGGAUGGGAGGCACUGCAAAAAGUUGACUCAGCAAGAAAUCUUUCUGCAGAUUUUCAAGGAAAGGCUUUUUGCUCUUGCAUCUUUACAAACAUCUCUGGAUAUACUACAACAGCCCUAUAUGUAGACACACUUAUCCUGGAAUUGGCUGCUUUUCUAUUCACUGAGGCAGGAAAAAAAAGAUAUUUUUCCCCCAGAACACAGGAAUGACAUGAACAGCAAUACCUGCUGAAAUUCAUGCAUACCCUAAUGCUGUAUACUGUAUGCAUACUGUCACAUUUUUUUCAAAUGGAGAAAUACUAAAUUUAUUUCCACGUGUGGCUCUCUUGUAUCACUUGGCAUUGAUGUAUUAUUAAGGAAAGCCACGACUACCUAUGACUGCGUUGCACAUUCUGCAGGAACACACCUACUAGCCCUGAUAACAUGGCCAUGUGAUUUGCAUAAUAACUUUCUGUCUAUCUAAAUUCACGUUUCUAUUACAACUGUGCAUGCGAUUCCUAGUGUUUUUCUCUGCUGUUAAACAGAUGCUGCAUUUCAGACUUGGUGAAAUAGUUCUCUCUCUCUAUUUUUUUUUCCCUUCACAGAACUGCUUUGGGAUCUCUUUAGCUGAAAGAUAGCAUAUAAAUGCAAAUCACCCUUGGCCACAUAGCCCAGAAUUACUUUUGCAUUUUAUUCUUGAUCUGCUUCUGUAUAUAGAGCAUUCCUGAAAGACAGUGAAAUUAGAUUUACUCAUAUGGCUGAUCUGCUUUGGGGAAAACAAACACAUGAUAGCCUUGUGCUACAUGAAUGUCAUGAUCUAAUGAAUGAUCCUGCUGAAAAGUAUCUCCUUUAAUUAAUUACUGACAAGACAAUUUCAUUUCAUUUAUAGCUUUAGAAAACAAACAAAGCAAAAAAUCCCAAAGCCUACAUAUAUGUAUGUCACACCUUCUCAAGUUUCUUUUUUCCCUAGUGUUAUUAACACAGAUAUAUACAUUUGCACCAAUAAUUGCUCUUUGUUUGAAUCCUCUUAAGCAAGUCUCCUUUAGUAAUGACUAUCACAAAACAUAUUCUGGCAGAAUAUGCAAAUUCUGCAAAAGAUAAGUCUGUUUAUGUUACUCAGUAAAGACAUAACGUUUACUCAAGAACAGAAACUCUACCUGCAUGCAAAUUAAAUUUAGAGCACUCCUUUGCAGAUAGUUAAAGUCUAUCAGGCCAGGGGCAAUCCAUGAAUGUGACUGCAGUGACGGAAGGUAAAGUGAGUAAGAAGUCUGAUCUGCAGACAGUGCACGUGUACCCGAUGCACGAAAAUUCCCACCAUGGGAUUGUCAAUGGUUUGUUCACCAUCCACAAGAAUUGGCUUCCUGUGUUAUGAAACUUUGGAAAAGCAGACAGAAAAGAAAUACGAAUAAAAAUGAAACUCCAAUUAAAAGAGCUAGAGCCAAGUGCUUACUGCAUCACAUCUUUCAUUCGCUUUCAUUGAGUCAUGGCUAGCAGGUGUCACCUAUGGUUUCAGAUCCUGCAUAUUCCUGGCACUGCCCACGUGCCAGCAAGGGGUUUAGGUGAAUACUCUCCCAGUUGUAGGCUGAUAGGCAUAGUGGCAAAGCAUGGAUAGUGCUGGUGUGACUUCCAUGGGAGACCGGAGUACUCACUGGGAAGCAGAUGUUGCAGUGAAGAUGUAAAAGCAGCACAUGUAACUAUGGCAUAGCCAAGGACCACAGAAGGAACGGUAGUUUCUUCAUGUGCCUCUGAUGGGGAAGAAAGCAAGCAGCAGUUGUGCUGAGGAAGCAGCUCAGGACAGAUUUACCAGCAAACCAGAUCACUUCAGGGCUUGCCCAGCUGAAAAUGAAGAGAUAAUGUAGAGAGGCAGAGUGCAAACCAGCAUGUAAAUAUUCAUUUU
ensembl:lncRNA